rnacentral:lncRNA from 1 species
GAAAAAGGGGGUGAAGAAAGCAAAGAGAAAGACAAGUUACUCACAUCUGAUUGUUUGGUCAGAGGCUAAUUAGGAGGGGGAAAAAAGUGAAAUAGUGAGAUGAUAUUUGAUACACUUUCCAAAAUGUACAUAAAGAAAGCUGUAUGCCCCCUGGAAAAAGGUUUGUACAGGAAGGGAUGUGGAUAAAUUCCUAGCGAGGCUACCCAUGGUGCUACUAGAGCUACUACUUGAUAUCAAUCUGCUUGGACGGACUCGGAUGCAGCGAAUCAAACUACAGGGCGAUCGUCAGAUGGUUGGCUCUUUAUUCAGGUGCUCUUCUGUCUGAAGGUGGCUACUGCUUAGUUAGCUCCGUCUUGAGUUAGCUCUUGUGACGCUCUUGCUUCUUAUAGCUAAUCCUUCUAGGCAAGUUAGAAGAGAACAGUGCGACUACCAAAGCUAGGGAACUGCAUGCCUAUACUGCUUGACCUACUUUAUUGCUUUUCACCGCCUCUCUUUUGUUUAGCUCCUUUUAAAAACACUUUUCUUUGUAGCUCUGUCUCUUUCUAGCUCUACUACUGCUAGGGAAAGGAAGAGAGAACAGCUACAGCCCUACCAAAGCUGUGGAACUGCUCUCUGUCUGUGCACUGCUUUCAGUGUACUGCUCUAUUGUUGGGUUAGGUAGGCUAUGUCUUGAGUUGGCUUAGCUCGCUCUUCUAAAUUAAAGCUAUUCUUGUAGUUACCUCUUUCUUCUUGUAGCAAGGGACCUAAAGACGCGGCACUCAGCGAUUUAAGGGCUUUACGGACAAGGCCCUACGCCUGCGAGGCUUAGCUACUCUUUGUGUCAUGUGUGUACGUACCGCUUAAAAAGCAAAGCUCUGACGGUCUUGUCUUGCAGCUAUCUCCUCUUCUU